rnacentral:misc_RNA from 1 species
CUGUUCGAGCGUCAUUUCAACCCUCAAGCACUGCUUGGUAUUGGGCGUCACUACCUAAGUGUGCCCUAAAAUUAGUGGCGGCGCCGCUGGGUCCUGAACGUAGUAAUAUCUCUCGUUACAGGUUCUCGGUGUGCUUCUGCCAAAACCCAAAUUUUUCUAUGGUUGACCUCGGAUCAGGUAGGGAUACCCGCUGAACUUAA